GUGAAAGCCCCACUGAAAGCCAACAUCUGCAGAGCAUCAGGCAGCACCGUUCCCCCAGCUCUGCUGAAACACAUCAGGUGGCGCUGUCAACAGGGUGCCGCAGCCGCAGGAGUCUGGGAGAACUCCAUCUGGAACUAGUAACCGUUCAAAAUUUGAGCCAGCCCCUCACCACCUCCACACAGCCCAGCCUGCCUGAAAUGAAUCCAGCAGCAACCAUUGAUUUCCAUUGCUUUCCAGAGCCGGGAUAUGAUGACACCACCUCUGGGCCAGAAGAGACUACAAUCACUCACUCUGAGUCAUUACAUAAGCAGCAGCCUGUGAUUUAUUAAACCACAAAAAAUAGGUUGCACUAACAUUGAGAGUCUGACUGCAAACCAUAGAAGGAGCAACAUGCAAUGUUAAGGCUGGGACUCCCUCCUUCACCUACGCUGUGGUGUCUAGGCAUUGUGUGGGUCCUGAGGAAUUGUCCCUACUUUGGAGGCCUUUCUGAAGUGCCCCAGACAGAAAUGAGGACAGGGCUCCAGCCUUAACUGUGAUUUUUUCUUGCUUUUGUGGCAGACUUAACAAAAAGUGUUUGACCAUUUAA